rnacentral:rRNA from 1 species
CCCUUAGAUGUUCGGGGCCGCACGCGCGCUACACUGACCGGAUCAGCGUGCUUUAAAAGUCCUGGUUCGAAAGAACUGGGUAAUCCGUUGAACCCCGGUCGUGCUAGGGAUAGGGACUUGCAAUUGUUUCCCUUGAACGAGGAAUUCCCAGUAAGCGCGAGUCAUCAGCUCGCGUUGAUUACGUCCCUGCCCUUUGUACACACCGCCCGUCGCUACUACCGAUUGAAUGGUUUAGUGAGGUCUUCCGAUUGGCCGGAGCGUAGUCGGCAACGACGGCGCUUUUGUCCGAAAAGACGAUCGAACUUGAUCAUUUAGAGGAAGUAAAANUCGUAACA